rnacentral:rRNA from 1 species
UACAGAGGGGGCAAGCGUUGUUCGGAAUUACUGGGCGUAAAGGGCGCGUAGGCGGCCUUCUAAGUCGAACGUGAAAUCCCCGGGCUUAACCUGGGAACUGCAUUUGUGACUGCAUCGCUGGAGUACGGCAGAGGGGGGAUGGAAUUCCGCGUGUAGCAGUGAAAUGCGUAGAUAUGCGGAGGAACACCGAUGGCGAAGGCAAUCCCCUGGGCCUGUACUGACGCUCAUGCACGAAAGCGUGGGGAGCAAACAGG